UGUUGCUGUCGUCCAACAUUCUUCUUUCCCACUUUGUUCAUAGUUUUUUUUCUCUUUUCUCUUCUCCUCACUGGAACUGCCUCCCUCCCCUUUCUAACACCCUUUUUGACAUUCACUUCUUAUCUUUUGGAAGUGAUUUACUGUUCGUUUUCUCCAUCAUUUUGCUGCCGUUUUUCACUGAUUUUCCAGCCUCAAAUCUGUCAUUUUUAUCACUUAAAAACAACCUCCAUUGCUGCAAUGGAAAACACCAUUGCCGCCCCUUCAUCUGUCUUGUCCCUUGAACGUUCUCUAAAAGCCGCCUAAGUCAGCCUUUUUAACCACCGUCGUAGGGGUGUGUUGCUGCCCUUAAAGUCUCUGUUGUGGCUGCUGAUUGAUUAUCGAAGCUAGUUCAGACUCGAGGAUCGUCGGGAAACGUCAUCACGCUAUCGAUCAUCUUGUUGGUACUUUUGAAGCUUUGUAUAUAUGGCAUAUGGCAUGUAUAGGCUAAUGAACUUUUGGUAUGUUUUGAAUUGUAAUUCUAGCCAUGUGAGUUGGCUUGGAAAUGGUAUAUCUUGUGUGAUGGAUGGUGGCAAUUUGGUUUGUGUGAUGAUAAGAUGCUGUCCAAAUUAGUGCUUAAAUGCUAUCCAUUUUUGAGCAUAUUAAUGCUGUCCAAAUUGAUGAUUAA